CACUACUCCACUGCGAUCAUGAUUCGUGCUUGUUUGUUGGUUUUCUUCAUCCUGGCUGUUUUAGCCUGUGCCUUUGCUUACCCUCACCAUCAUCAUCACGGACAUCAUGGCCAUGGAUAUGGCCAUGGACAUCACCACGGACAUCACGGUCAUCAUUAUGGACAUUACGGACAUCACUAUGGACACCAUCAUCAUCACGGACAUCAUCAUCACUGGUAAAAUUGGACAGCAAGAGUAACAAUAUGUGACUUUUUCUUUCAACUAAUUCACCAACUAAGUCUCUCGUUAUGUUAUUCUUUUGCCUUUCUACAUUUUUGUUGACAUUUGUAGUAACAACUUAUUUCGGAUGUUGAAUUAGAUUAGACUACCAUUAGACUUAAGCCAAUUUUUAUUAAAAGAACAUAAUUGAAUGAAUCAUUCACAAAACGUUCUACUGUUACGAUAAGUUUUUCUUAGUUUUCAAUUAAAUGUAUUUAUAUUCCAAAACAGGCUACUACAGGAGAAUGUCUACUCCUUCAAGAAAUCAAAAGCAGUAUGAAUUUAUUUUGUAAACACUGAAAUUUUACUCUAUCUGGAAAGAAAAUGUUGAAUAGAAAUGCUAUAGGACUUUCCUUAUAACCAGUUUUAAUGUUACUUUUGCUCCAUUCAACACCACAAUGUUUUCCUCAACACUAUAAUAUGCAUGUGAUAAAUUAUUCAAACGGAAAAUUCUAACUGCAUAACCGAUCAAUCAUUGUUAAGUGUAUAAUUUUGUUACUUUAUUUUAAUGUUUUUGUUUGUUUAUUUAUAAUAAAUGGUUUUCAAAUGGA